GUGCUGGCAGCCUCAGUACCAGACAGACCAGCGCACUCGUUGUACACCUCCAGUUCGUGCACACCUGCCGUGACAGUGCUGAAGAAAUUACGCUACAAAUUGAGCGCUUAAGUUAUUACAAGAAGAAUACAUUCCCAAAAUCAUUAUUGUUUUGUGAUCUAUAGAACAAACUGGCAGUGUCAUCAUUGAUUCAACAGUGUUAAAACCCGUUACGCAUUAUAGGUAAAUUACCUUUACCUGAGUGAUAGUCCUCGUCUUGAGGCUCGAAGUUUGAGACCCUCCACCUACUAGCACCACUAGCACUACUACCUACUAGCCUGUUACUAUCACCACCAACCAAGAUGGUUCAGGAACAUGUGUACACUGCAAGCAGCAGCAGCAUCGCUGACCCUGAGGCCAGAAAGAGCACCUACAAGGUCAUGGAGAUGGGCGCCUACAGUCACAGCAGCGCCACCAAGAGAACGAGUGCGGACGUCACAAAGACUAAGAACAACACGGUCCAGAAGGACGUGUGGGGACCCGUGUUCCAGAAUAAACAACACUUUGUUGACAUGCACAUCUGCUAGGAUACGCCCACUGCCUGUGCAUGACUUGCUAUGCACAAAUCUAAGGACUACAUAUCUCCUGCCCCUGGCUAGUCUGGGACAUGCAGAUCUCAUAACACAUGCCCACUGCCUGUGCAUGAGGACAGGCACUUCCAGGAAUACAAACCUUUCUCGGACUAGUCUUGGACAUGCGCAUCCAGGACACACCCACCGCCUGCACAUGUCUUGAUCUGAAUCUUUCCAGCAGGUCUGGAGUUUACAGUUUUUUCCCAUGUGAUGCACUGCAGUCAACUAACACCCAGGUGCCUGUUUGUUGCUAGGUGAACAGAGGCAUCAUACGUCUCUCACGCCUGGACAUCAGACAAGGAAACUUUCAUGCGUGAUCCACAGGCUCCGACCGCUGAGCUUCAAGUCACUGUGGCUAGUCAUAGACAUGUCUACUUCAGCCAUGCAUCACCUGCCUCUGGCCAGUUAUAUAAACAUGUAUUCUUUGCUUGAUCAUUGUUAUUGCCAAUACUAAGUAUUGUAUUUAUUAUGAUCUCCAAGGCCAGCUGUUAUUUUGUUUUGUAAUAAACAUCUUUUCAUAACAUUUCAAGUUCAUUUCUGUAAAUAUUUUUUAUAUUCAACCGAGUCAUUACCACACUUCAUAACAUCACAUGAUUUUUUAUAUAACACAUUAAGAAAAUGUCACAUAGCUUAUAUGCCUUACUGUUUUCAGUAAAUUUUGUAAUAAAUUUUUUAUUACUAUUA